rnacentral:rRNA from 1 species
UGGGGAAUAUUGGACAAUGGGCGCAAGCCUGAUCCAGCCAUGCCGCGUGAGUGAUGAAGGCCCUAGGGUUGUAAAGCUCCUUCACCGGUGAAGAUAAUGACGGUAACCGGAGAAGAAGCCCCGGCUAACUCCGUGCCAGCAGCCGCGGUAAUACGAAGGGGGCUAGCGUUGUUCGGAUUUACUGGGCGUAAAGCGCACGUAGGCGGACUAUUAAGUAAGGGGUGAAAUCCCGGGGCUCAACCCCGGAACUGCCUUUGAUACUGGUAGUCUUGAGUUCGAGAGAGGUGAGUGGAAUUCCGAGUGUAGAGGUGAAAUUCGUAGAAAUUCGGAGGAAAACCAGUGGCGAAGGCGGCUCACUGGCUCGAUACUUACGCUGAGGUGCGAAAGCGUGGGGAGCAAACAGG